rnacentral:misc_RNA from 1 species
UAAUUAAGCAUUCAAUAGUGUUUGCUUAAUGAAAAACAAUAAUGACAUGGGAAGAAAAAAAGUGUGUUCUUGAUUAGGGGCAAAUUGGCAUAAAGCUCUUUGCCCUUGAUAGCUCUCAGCUUCAGGGUGAGUCUUUUUCCUCUUCAUUCAUUUGUAAUUAAGUUCUUUAUGUCGCUUGUGUAUAGAAACAAGAAAGUUUAUUAUAGAAUGAUAUGUUGUUUAUAAUAUAUUGAG